CCGUAGUGUUUUGCCGCAAAAUGAUAGUAUCCAACUCCAUUUUGCCAAAAUCCCAGAGUACUCUGCUCCAAAAGAAGUUUACCAAACCGCUCGGGCAAUGGGCAACGACACAGCCAUAAACAAGAGCUACAACCUGACAUGGCAAUUUCCUGUUGAUUCCAAUUUCAAUUACCUGGUUAGGCUUCAUUUUUGUGAGUUUCAGGCUGGAAUUUGGGAGAUCGGAGAUCAAGUGUUUCUAAUUUACCUGGAUAAUAUACCUGCUGAAAAAACAGCGGACAUAAUUGAGUGGAGUGGCGGGAAUGGGUUUCCAAUAUACAGAGACUACUUGGUGUCCAUGCAGCUUCCGAGCUCAACUGGAACUGGAAGCAAGGCGAAAGUGAAUCUCACCAUCGCACUGCAGGCAAACCCACAUGAUUGGAGGACUUUAAUCAGCGAUGCAAUGUUGAAUGGUCUCGAAAUCUUCAAACUCAACAACUCAUACGGCAAUCUCGCGGGACCCAAC
rnacentral:lncRNA from 1 species